rnacentral:lncRNA from 1 species
AAAAAAAAAAAAGAAGUAAGAAUGUAGACAUUUAUUUAAAAUUAGAAAUAAGAAAAAUGUAAUAUUUAAAAUUAAAAAGUAUUUAAGGAAAACAAAUUUUUGGUAUGAAGAAAAUGUGGGGAGAAAAGACUGAAAAGUUUGUAGGGCCCUAAAGUCAGCAGUCAUAAAUAAGAAACAGUCAAAUGAAAUAUAUAUAUAAAAAUUGAAUAAAUACAGAGUUUCUGUUAUAUUUCUCAGUCAUAAUUAGUAUAGAUUCAUAAAACAAAUAAUAAUAAUAAUAAUUUAAAAAACUUCUUUUUUUUUAAUAAAAAAGUACAGAAAUUUGUACAACAAAUAACACACCUGCAUGUUAUGUGCCAAAUCCAGAGAACCUAAGCCACUUGUCAUCAUUUUUAUAUUCUUUAUUCUCUUUCUUUUUUUCUUUUCAUAAUUUUUGUUUAUGUAUAUAUAUAUAUAUAUAUAUAUAACUUAUAAUUUGUGAUUGCAAUGGGUAUGUACAAGGGAAGGAAAUUACCCUAAAAGGCUCUACACUGCCAAUCAAUCUAACUUAUCAUUUAUUUAAUUUAUUUUCCUCUUUUCAAUUUCACUAAUCAAUUCACUACAAACCCCUCUUAAUUUCCUCUUACUUAUUUCUUUCUUGAGAAAAAACACUAUCAAUAUUAAUCUACCAGGAUACAACCAAGAUACUAUACUAAUUUACUUAUUUAACUUGAAAGCAUUUAAGAUGAUGUGCGAACUUGUGAAGGUAAAUUUAGUAUCAUAUUAUUUUACUAUUUGAGAAAAAAAAAAAAAAAACCUAUUGCAUUAAUUAAUUCUUCCAAAUGUUUUAUACCCUCUCCUCUAUCUGUAUUAAUUAAUUCAUUUAUUCAUUCAUGAAAUCAUUACUUUUUUUCUCUUCUAUCCCUCCCUAAUUUCUUCUAUAAGAUUUUAGCUAUGGUACUAAGAGUCUUUGCUCAAACCAUAAAUGGAUUGUACUAAAAAAAUCUCUUUCUAAAAUCGUUCUAAUGAAUGUUUGUGUUUGUUUUUCUUCUUCUUAUUAAUUUACUUCUUGAUGGUCAGCUGGCUAACUUCUUUUCAAUGGAUUAAGGUAGAUGUAUGUUGUCAACCUUUAAAGGUAAUAUAUUUCAAUAAAAGUGUUUUUUUUUUUUUCUAGACCACAAUAUUUUUUACAAACUAGGUUUUUAAAAUUAAAUAUUCUAUACACACUACUCUAUUAAUUGAUAUUAGUUUCUUUUACCUUUUAAUUUCAUUUUACAGCGUCAACUAUAGGAGUCUAAUGAAUUGAAGUUUGAUUUAAAUAAUACUUUCAACUUCUGUAUAUUUUCUCUAUUUCACUCGUUAUUUCAUACUUUUUAGUUAUUUGGUUCAUUUAUUGUAAAAUAUUUUCACAUGCACAGUAAAAACCUUUAAAACAAUUUUAUGGCUACAUUUUAUUGAAAUUAAAUUUAGUCAACAUAGUGUAAUAUAUACUAAAGAUUUUGAUAGAAAAAUCACGAAAUAAAAAUAAAAAUGAAAGAACAGAAUUGAUCGUUUCAUUUUUAAGAAGCUGGAGAACCUUACAAUAAUUUAUGUGGUAAAUUAAUGAAUUAAUUUAAAGAAAAUUGGGGAUGAGAAUGAAUAUUUAGUUGAUAAAAGUGAUUGGGAGAUGCAUAAAAUUAAACAUGGUGCAACAAAACGUCGAACCGACACCAUAUUGACAGAAAUUCUCCGGUGACCCAUUGUAGUUAGAGACCCAUCCAAUCAUUCUCUUCAAAAUAUUUGAAUGGAAAAAUUCAAUAUGAGACAUUUGGAAAGACAAAGAAGAAGCAUCCAAGUUUUUUUGGUUGGGUGUUGAGAGACAAAAUUAAAGCCCUUUCAUUAGACAAAAAUGAGGUCAAAUGUAACCUAACCCUCCUUACCCUAUUUUUAUUUAUAUGUGUGUAUGUGUAUAUAUAUCAUAAAUAUUGGAGUCAAGUCAGGACAAAAUGAAGAAAAAUCAAAUUCUUGAAUUUUUCUAAUCUCUUACCAAAGAAAUUUGACAUACUUUCUAAGUUUUGAAAUUUUGAAUACGAGAAUUACUUUAAAAUUAGAGCCAAUGUAUUUGAAUUUCUAGAUAGAUUGAUUUAAGACUUUGAAAGGAAGGAAAAGUAUUCAUAUAUGGUAAAUAUAGAAGAGAGAGUACAAUUUUUGUACACUAGGAAGAGUAGUGUAAUAUCCAUGUAUCACAUGUAAAAUGUUGGGCUUAUAUAAACCAUCAAAUACGAAAUAAAUAUUAAAUAUUUUCUUGAUUAAAUUUGUGAUGUAAAUUUAAAUAAUAAUUAAAAUUGAAAGUAUGACAACUAUCUAUUACCCUUUGCUUUUUGGUUUGAAAUUUUAGUUUACAAAUAUUACUUUCAUUCAAAUGUUUCUCUUUCUUUUGAUUUUAAUUUCUACAUUCAAAAGAUUUUCUCAAAUUUAAAAUCUACUGAAAAUAUAAUCUAAAAUAAGUUUGCAAAAAUAGUAAAAAUAUCAUGAAAAGUGGGAGUAGAUAUUAUUUAAAAAUCAAACUAAAUUAAAAUAAAUAAAUAUAUAUAUAUAUCUAAACAAUUGAGAAGUUUAUUGUUUUUCGUAGAGUUCAUGCAGCAUCCCAAUUUUGUCAUAUAUUAUAAACUUAGUUUUUAGCCUUAGCUUACAUGUUUAAACCUUUCUAGAUGGAUGGUUAUAUUUAAUUCAUGGCCGUAAAACGAUGUAAUAAAUAACAUUUUAAAAAAAAUUCAAUACGUAAGAUUUUCUUGAAAAACUGUAUUAGAUGAUAAAAGAAAAAAUCUACAUCACAUUCUUUUUUGUUUACCGUAGAUAUGACAAAUAAUUAAUGAUAUUAGGGUUAUUCAAUUUUUAAUUUUCUACUUUUUCAAUUUAAAAAAAUGCGCUGACAUAUUACACUCUAAUGUAAUAAAUUCUUUUUGCUAUUUUCGCAAUUAAGAUUAAAUUUGGAUAUUUAUAAUUUCUUGAUUUUAUUAUCACAUUUUAUAGUGUACACUCUAUUUCUGAUUUCCUUUGUCAAAUAUGUAAAGAGAUAUUUGAAAAUUUACUUUUUACAUUUCAGCAUGUUACAAUUUUUUAUCAAUGAUAUUUGAAUGUCGUAUCAACCUUAUUCCUAAGUUUUAAAAUUUAUUAUUUUUAAGUUCUUUAAACAAUAGUUAAUUUUAAAAAAAUUUAUAAACUUUUAAAAAUAAUAAAUUUGAUCAAAUAUUCACAACAUAUAGCAAAAUUUCAGAUUCUGUCAAUAAUAGAAAUUGAUAGACAUUAAUAUUCUUUUAUUAGUGACAUUAAUAGACAAUGAUAGAAUCCAACAUUUUGCUAUAACUUGUAAAUAUUUUAAUUUAUUUUGUUAUUUUUAAAAAUAUUUCUAAAAUUAGGAGGGUUCUGUUUUUUUCUUUAACUGUUAAUAUAAUUUUUCAGUGUAGAAGGGUUUAUAAACUUAAUUUUCAAAAUAAAAAUUAGACUAAAAUGAAACUUACAAUUUAAAAAAAUGAAUUAAAUUGUGAUCUUUGGAACUUAGGACAGACGGAAUCCAAAAUUUAGAACUAAAGUAUACUUUUUGUAAAAGAGAAAACAAUAUGAAAAGUACAUAUCCGAUAUAAUACGAACAAAGAAUUUACUAAAGUAACUUUACAUUACUUUUGUAGGUUAAGUUCAAAGACUUAAUUAAAAGUAAUUACUUUAAUUUAAUCAAUUUUGGAAGUGGGUAAAUUAAUUAAUGUUAAUAUAAUAUAUUUUAUUUUUUAAAAAAAGGAUUAAUUUGUCAAUUAACAACACAUAGCCACCAAAGAAUUAUGGCCCACAAUAUAGUUUCCACCAAAGACCCAACCGAUUAUAUACAUAUUAUUAACAAACUAUAUAUUAUUAAUAUAUACCAACUUCAAAGUACUAUUAAAAUCAAUAUAAUAUCGUAAUUGUCCUAAUUAAUUAUGUCAUCAAACUAAACUUUUUUAUGCAAAAUCCAUCAAUUUGACAAGUGGUACAACCACAAGUGGAGUUCAUAUUCUCUCAAUUUUUUCUUUAUUAUGAGACUUUAAUUUACUAAAACUUGCUCAUAUACAGCUUGAUUACCACUUUACAUAUUAAUUAAACAAAAUAAUGUAUGUGUGGACACUAACCCACUACUGAUAGUUCAGUGUUUUAAGAUUUCUAUUUAAAGUAUAAAUUUCUCUAUCUUAAACUCAAAUUAAAUAAAUAAACAAAAUCUUUACUUCCACCAACAUGUAUCACCUUUAUUUAUAUAUAUAAUUCAUUCAUUUAUGUUGAUAGGGUGAAAUAUAAUUAUUUGGGAUGACCUUGGAUGUAUACACACACCACUCUUCUUAAUUAUUAUUAUUGUUGUUAUUGUUAUUAAAUUUACUAUUAAUGUUUGAUUUCUUUUUUUCAGUCAAAUCAUUGAAUUUGAAUAAUAAAAUGAUGAUGUGAUACUUAAAAGCUAUGCAUUUGCUAUCAUCUUUAUUUUUAUUUCCAUGGAGUUUUUUAUUUGAGGAAAAUAUGAAGUAAUGUUUUGGAAUGAUAUAUAUUUUCCGGACCGACUUGAAAAUAUAAAAGUAGAUUAGAGUUUGAGCUUCUGUUUUUUUUAAGAAAGAUGUAUUAAUUACCAUAAACAAUAUUGUCCGUCUCGAUCACACGAAAAAGAAACACAUGAAGACAAUAAAGAAAAUUUGACCUAAGAAUGGACUACAUCAUUACAUCUUCGGAAAGAGUAAGUCAAACCUCGAACAUUUGACCGACUAAUAAGAUCAACUACUUUAGUGUAAAGAAUAUAAUCCUUCAACUAUACAAUGUAGGAAAAUAAGAGAUUCAAGCUUUUAAUCCUUUGAUUACUAACAUUAUAUCUUAAUCGAAUAUCACUGUAACGAUUACUGUCAUGGGAUUGUUAACCUUAAUUCAACACAAGGGAUAAAAAAAACGAGAUGAUGCAAAGAAAGUUGAGAUAGGAGAAUUGAAGGAGACAGUGAAUGGAAUAUAAUAGAAUGGUGUUUUUCUUUUCUCUUCUUCUUCUUCUUCUUUUUUUUUUGGGGGGGUUGAAAAAGAAAAUAAUGAAUAAAUAAAUAAAUAAGGAAGAGAUGGCAUAAGAAAACAAAACCUUAGUUGGAUAGAGAAAGUCAAAUAAUUGGGACAAAAUUAGUGAUGAAUUGGAUUUGCUUGGGGAAAGCUGUUUUUUUCUUUAAUUUUGUUGUGUGGUUUUUGGAAGAUGGAGAAAUCUAGUUUGGGUUCCAGCUAUCAUUUUGCUUUUUUUCAUACCUUUUUUAGUGAAAGGAGAAAGGGAUAGAGAUCUUCCACUUGCAAUAAUUUUAAUAACAUAUCCAACCUUCUUUCCCCCCCUUUGCUUAUAUGGAUUCUUACAUCUUCAAUUCCUUUUUAAAUCAUAUAUAUCCUUAACUUCCUAUCACCUUUCUUUAAUAAAGAAAAAAAAAACCCAUAACCUUUAUAUUUGCAUCAUCUUAUACAAAACUCAACUAAUCUUAUACAACAAUACUUAUUCUUUCAAACUCUUCAUUUUUGUAUAACUCAGUUGAGUUUGUUUUACUAACUUUUUAGAGAAAGGGAAGUCCUCUCUCGAUCUAGGCUUUUUGUGUUAAUUUUUUCAUGAUUUAUUUAAAUAUCAAUGAAGGAUACUAAUUAAAAUUUGUGUCAACCUAGUUUGGUUAAAUCAGUGCACUUACUGAAUGACAUGCGCUACAUAUAUUUAUUUAGGAAAAAAACCCGAAUAGAUUGAUGAAUAUAUAACCAAACCUUUGACUUUUAGAGAAAAGAGUUGUACAAAAUAUCCUUGACCUAAAUUUACUUUGAUCCUUGAAUUCUUUAUUAAACCCAUAAUCUUCUUUUGAUUGUGAAACGUCCACGAUAAUUCGAUUAGUGAUAACUCCAUGGAAUAUUUUUGAGGUCCCACCUUUAUUAAUAUCAAUACAUUCACGUUUUUGGAUGGAGGAAGAUUUCAUCAUAUCAUAGAUGUAGAACCACAAAUGGUUUUUUGGAUUCAACCAUUUUUGUUUUUAUAAUUAAUUGUAAAGAUAUAUCGUGUAAAUUGUUGAAUAAAAUGAUUUGAAAAUGACAAUCACAAAGAUUUUGAAUUCGGUAUAUCCUUCUUUCUUCCUACGUUACUUUAAAUCUAUCACUUUGUAAUUUUCUUUCUUUCUUUCUUUUUUUAAAAAAAGGGCCAAUAAUGUUUUAUCUACCACAACUAAUUCUAUCCUCCCAAUAAUAAAUUUAUCACUAUCGUUAUUGUAGAUUUUUCUAACAAAGUGUAUAUAUAUAAAAUGAUAGUGAAUAAUUCCAAACAUUAUUCUUAUUUCAAGGGAUGGACUACAGAAAGAGUGGAUUUGGCACUUUCAUAAGUGUGGGAGAGAGCUUGGGUUGUGUAGAGAUUUAAAACAAAAUGGUUCAUGUCCCUGACUUUAUCAGAUUCGAUUUCGAGGGAAGAAGUUAGGGUCAUGUUAAGUGGAAAACCAAACAUUCGACUUCGGGGGAAGAAGUUAGGGUCAUGUUAAUUAUUACUGAACUUAAACUCAUUUUGAAAAAAUUACUUUGAGAUUUUACGUACAUGAUUUUUUUAUGCAAUGAACGAACAUCCUCAUUAAUCAAUACUACUUGGACUCUUUUUGUUAUAUGAAUAAAAUCACUAAAAUAAGAGAAAAUACAUAACUUAGUGUAUAUGAAAGAAUUUGAGACGGGUGACUUCACGAUGUCUCUUCUCUUAGUUUUAAGAAAAUUUUUACUCACUUUAAUGUUUAAGUUUAAUUUAAUGAGUAAUUAUUUUUUUUUAUGAUGUCUCUUAUCUUAGUUUUAAGAAAAAAUUUACUCACUAUAAUGUUCAAGAUUAAUUUAAUGAGUAAUUAUUUUGUUUAUGAUGUCUCUUCUCUUAGCUUUAAGAAAAAUUGUACUCACUUUAAUGUUUAAGUUUAAUUUAACGGGUGAUUAUUUUUUUAUGAUGUCUUCCCAAAUUUUAAUAGCAUAAAUUAGGAUAUGAAGAGGAUAGUAUUUAGAACAAGUGAAGAUUAUUAAUUAAAUAAAAAAAUUUACAAUACUUGUACACAAAAAUUGCAAAACAGUUUCUUCUCUUGUUCUAUUUCUUGGAAAAUUUGAACUCUCAUUUUCUAAUAAAAUGUUUGUUUGAAAUAUUAAUCAAGUUUAGUAAAAAUAAUUGAGUUUAAUGGUAUAUUUUUAGAAGCAAGUUUUUUUAAUAAUAAAAAAGUGAGAAAAUUGGGAAUUUUUUUAAAUAAUAAUAUAAAAAAUAUAGUAGAAGAGAGAGUAUUGACAAUAAUAAGGGUAGAGAAGUUGUGAACGAGUUUCAUGACUUGUUUGCCUACUAAACUAAAGUCUUGGACGGAGUUCACUUCUUUUUUCUUUUUCUUUUUUUUAUAUAUAUAUAUAUUAAAUAUCUCACUUAAAUUCUAAUUCUAAAAUAUUUUUUUUAUUAAACUUUUUCAUUCAAUUUUUUCUUUAUUUAUGUAUAUAUUAGGGGUCUUUUAAAAAAUAUAACGGUAAAGUAUGUAUGCCAUAUUGAAUAAUUUCGAAAACUAAAAAAUGCCACAGACUCACAAUGGAAAAUUUAAAAAAUGUCCUGAUUAAUUGGGAUCAAGCGCAAUUAAUUUGAAAAACAAUAAUUUAAUAUUUGAAAAAUGAUCAUUUAGGGCUAUCCAAUAUUCUAACGAUUUUUUUAUACGAUUUUUCAUAUUUGUCACACGAUCUAAACAACCAAAUAACCAUUUGAAUUUUUUUUAUAUAUAUAUUUGGUACACGGAACCAAAUAACAAUUUAAAAUUUAUUUUUAAAAAUUACAGAAAAAGAAUAGAAGAAAGGACGACCAAAAGAACUACAGACCUAAAAUAUUUUUAAAAAAUGGUUAACUUAAGGAACCUUUUCAUUUUGUUAUAGCGAACGUAAAUAUUACGUCAGUUUGUUAUAUUUAUAAAAGUUAACAUAAUAUCUCAGUCUCAAAUUUUUAAAUUUCUUAUUAAAUUCACAUUUUCAAAUUUAUUUUGAUUAUUUCCUUAUUAACCACCUAUUUAUUCUUUUUUUUCUUUAUAUAUAUAUAUUUAUUAAAUAUCUCAAUUUCCAAUUUUACAUUAUUGUUCUCAAUUUCCAAUUUUACAUUAUUGUUUCCUUAUUAACAAAAUUUUUUGUUCUUUUUUUCUUUAUAUAUAUAUAUAUAUCUCAAUUUUCAAUCAAAAAUAUAUGUUUCCUUACUAAAUUGAGACCACGAACAAUUUUAAUUUAAUUAUUUCUAUAUUAACAUUUAAUUUCCAAUUUCAAUUGUUCGACCUUCAAAUUUUUUCAUGAAUAGAAUCUUUUUUAAGGAAGUGAUACACAACUUCCAUUACGUAGGUUUAACUGGUCAAAUUAUGGGUGACGUGGAUUACUAGAAGUCGUGUACUUCAAAAACACAAAAGUACUCUAUUUUUUUUCAUAGUUUCUUGUUAUACUCCAUUUCUAAAAUUUCUUUUCAUACUAUCCUAUUUUUGUUAUUAUUUAAAAGAACAUUUUUUUUUAAAAUACUAUGAGAAAAUAUGUAAAUUUCAAUCAAACAGUAGAGAGUGAAGAAAAGAGAGAUUAGAAAAUGACAAGUUGGGAAUUAUCCAAAACAAUUUGAACAGGAAAGAACAAUUAAAGUUAUUAUUAUUAUUAUUUUAAAGAGGGCUUUUAAAAACUAUUUAGAUUAAAAAUAAAAAUAAAUGAGAAACCAAUAAAUGAAUCCCAAAGUGCAUUGGAACAAGUUGCAUCUUUGACUAAAAGAAUCAACACACUACAACUCUACAACAUUUUAUUAUGUUUAUUAUUACUCUUAUUUUUAUUAUUAAUAAUUUAUAUUUAAAUUUAAACUAUUGUUUCAUUUAAUAUUUAAUUCAUAUUAACUCUUCAACUUAAACCAUUUUACUUUCUGAUGUUUGUUUUACUCGCUUGAAUUAAGUAAAUGGAUCAAUAAAAAUAGAUGAUAAAAUAUAAUAGUGAUUCAAAUAACCACUUUUAAAAUAUAUAAAAUAAAAUAGACAUUUAAAAUAAUAUUAACUAAAAUGAACCCAAAAAAAUUUAAAAUUUUAAAAAGAACAAAACUAGGUAAUAUGGAAUUUUCAAAUAUGUUUUAGUUAAGAGUUCUUUUAAAAAAAUUGGAAGUAACAAUUUAGACUUAAUAAUUUUAUUUGUAUUUAUAAGAAUCCAUCUCCCUUUUAUUGUGCGAGAAUUCAAUGAAUAUAUAUUAACUAAUUUAUUCAUGUGUAUAUUCUAUAUACCAUAUAAUGAGUAAAUUUGUGUAACUAAACAAAAAAAAAGUAGUAACAAGAAUCAAAAUAUUCAAUAACACUUUACAUUUAAAAUUUGAAAUCAAAUACUUAAUGGUUUCUAUAUUCUUUUUGUAUCCUAGUUAUUGGGUACUUUUAACAUAAAAUUACUCUAAGCUAAGCGUAUAUAAUUUUGAAAUUACUAGUAAUUUUAAAAAAUAUAAAGUUUCAAUUAUAUGUAUUAUAUAUCAUCUCUUAAUCUUCCAUUCAUAGUCGUUAUUUAAGUUAUUAACCUAUUCAAUAUUUUAAAAAAUCGACAAAUCUUCUAAGAGAAACAACUAAAGAAAACUUAAAAGAUCAGUAGCCAUAAAAUUUUAAAAUUAAAUAUCCAAAUAGAGAGGUUGAUCUUAAAAGAAAAAAGAAACGUGCAUGUGAAUACAAAAUUUUGAAACUUGGAUACACAUAUAGAAAAACUUUUUAAGUUCAAGACUUACUGUAAUAGGAAUGGAAAGUUUUCAAAGACAAAUAAUUGGAUGAGAUACACAAGAAUAGUAAGUACUACCAGACAAAGCACCUAUAUGUAUAUAUAUAUUUAUAUAUGUAUGUAUAUUCAUAUAUAUAUAUAUAUAUAUAGAUAUUAGUCUAUGGGCAAUACCAGAGAAGCCCCAGUUUGUGGAAAACCACUUUUUAGACUGUUUGACAGAAAACCAGGGGGAGGAGAAGGAAAAGUCUACUUUUUAUUAUUAUGAAUGUGAUUUAUUAUGAUUGUGAUUAUUAUUUUAUAUCAUACUUAUAUUAUAUUAUUAUUUUGGGCAAUUUAAGUUAUGAGGGGUCAGGUUGGAAUCAGAUAAGUUUAGCAACUUGAGGUUGAGGCAGCUUCCAAUAAUAAUAAUAAUAAUAAUAAUAAUUCCCAUCCCCCACCAUAUCUCUCACAAUUCCCUUCCCCUUUUUUAUAUUUAUUUUUCCUCAUCAAUGCAUUUAAUUUCUUUACAUUUUUCUAAUCAAAACCCUUUUUUUUUCUUUUUUUUUUUUAGUUUACAAAGUUUGUGUCAUAUCAAAAACAUUGUUAAAAUUAUUUGAUUUGAUGUGACCUUGUGGUAAAUUCAGAGAACAUUAUACAAUAAUUCAAUUACUUGUUUAUUAUUGCAUAAAAAUCAAUCCCAUUUUAUUAUUUUCUAUAUGGUAUACAUAAAGCUGAUCUUUUUGUAUGGGAAUAGGACAAAUUUUUUAGCUGAAGAAAAAGAGUACUGUAUACAUUAGAAAAAGACAAAUAAAAUAUCUUGUAACCCCACAAUAUUAUGAAAUAUAAUUUGGUGUUUUCCCACCUUCUAGGGUGGCAACCACUUCAAUAUGAGCAACCCCUUCAUGAUUGGAAAAUCUCAUGUAACUAUGUGUGUAUGUGUAUGUAUCUAAUAUGUAUACCUAUGGAUUUUCUUUUUCUUUUUCCUUUUUCCUUUUUUAGUGGGUUUUUUAUAUUAUAAUCUUUCAUUUGCGUAAUUACUUUUUGCAUUAGUCAUUUUCUGACUUUUUGGGAUUGAGCCCAUAUGUCUCUCCUUUAUAACAUAAUAAUUUUAGAAUACAUCAAUUGAAUAAUUGCUUCAUUUUUGUAUAUAAAACAAAUCGGCUUGAUGGCAAAAUGUUAACAAACAGGUGAAUCUAUAAGGACGUGACAAUUCAUUUUUACAUUUUAAUGUUUACUUUUACAUUGUUAGUUUAUUAUUAUUUACUAUUAACUUACUUUUUACUCUAAAUAAUAAAAUACUUAAAAUAUUUAUUAAAUAAUUUACAUGAUUCUAGACUCUAUUCAUCUAUCAAUUCUAUCCAUAUGAAGGAUUGAUGUUAAUAAAUCUAAAAUUUUGUUAUGUUUAUAAAUAUGUUGGUGCAUUUUUGCCAUAUUUGAAAAUGUUUGUUUUCUUUAUUAUAUGUAAUAGAUUUUUCGUAUUUAUUUGAUUAUCAUCCUUUUAUUUUUGUUAAGUAUGUUGAAUAAAUCUUAAUAUUAGUCUUUAGUUUCUUAUUUGUUUUUUCAAGCAAUUUUGUCUCUUUAAACAUGCUUUUCCUUCUUAUAAACUAUGAUAAUAUAUAUAAUAAGAAUUUAGUAGAUUAAUUAGAUUUUUCAUAAAUAAUAAAAAAAAAUUGUAAGCUCAAUACUUUUAUACAAAGUCUACAUAAAAUUAUAUAUAUAAAAAAACAAACCCAUGAUUUUGACGAUUUCUUACAUAGAAACUAAAUAGUUGUUAGAAUUAAAUUGUUAUAAAACUUAAAGUUCAAAAAUAAAAUGAUUAUAAAUUAAAGUUUAAAGAUAAAAUUGUCAAAUUUUCUUUUUAUAAAUAUUAAGGAGGAAAAUAGAUUUUUCUUAAAAAGAAAAAAUCUAAAAAGUAAAAAGGGUAGAAGCAAUUCUCUUAAUUGAACUCUUGGAUAUGAAACUAUAAGUAGUUUUGAAGCCACCCUUAAAAUAGUUGAAUAUUAGAUUUAAAUAUGUGGGGACAAAAGACCACUAAUUUCUUUGAAAUUAAAAAGGGGCCGAUAAGAAUAGGCUUUGAAAUUCAAACUAUUUAUUAAUGAGUUCUUUUUCUAAGUUUGGUAGAAAUUAAUACUAAGCUCAUGAAGCAUCUUUUUUGACCAACGAAAAAUCAAAUCAACAAUUCUUCUAAUAAAUUAAUCAAUUUGUACAAAUUUGAUCAAGGUUUUUCUGUUGUUCAAUUUUAGGUGACAAAAUUCAUACGUAAUUAAUUUGUAUGGUGCGAUUAGACCUUAUCCUUUUAAGGUCAAUAAUAUCGACAUCCAAAACCUUUUUAUAAGUAUGCAAAUUUUUAAAAUUUCAACUAAUUAAAUAAAUAUGUUUAUAAUUUGCGUUGAUCAAAUUAGCACGCAUAUUUUUAAAAUUUGUUAUUUUUCUUAUAAAUUUAUUUGGGACGUUUAUGAAAUAUUUAGAUAAACAAGUGCAAGUUAUAUAUAUAAUACAAAUAUUUAUACUCUAGUGUUUCACUUUAAACACAAACUUCUAUUUGUUAAUUGUAACUAAUAAUUCUCAUAUUUCACAUUGUUUUUAAAGUUAUAGUUAUGUUCUCUUAAUUAGGAUAAUUCUCAUAUUUCACAUUGUUUUUAAAAGCUAUGUUCUCUUAAUUAGGUAGACAUUUAGAUGACAAAUGAAUCAAGUUGACAUAUUAAUAUUAUUUUUUAAAAUUUUAUAAUAUUGACCCUUUCAUAUUUCAACGCUAAAAGUUAUCAUUUUUCUUUCUAAAAAAAUCAAUCACAAUUAAUAAAAGGUUGAAGAUCAACACUCAAUUAUUAUACAUAUACACAUAAAAUAGGAUUAAUUUGAAACAAUUUAGAAUCUAUCCUAAGUUGAUUUGAUCGUAUAUUAAACUUUAAAGAAAAAAAAAUUGAUGGUUGAGAUGAAAAGGUUAGUAUUUAUUUAUUAUAGGCAUGAAGAGUCAAGAUCCCCCAAAUGUUGAUUAAAGAAAUAAUUAACAAUUAAGAAAUCAAAGUGAUAUUUUGAUUUAAAAAAGAAAAAUAAAGAAUAAAAAAAGUCAUGGUAUGUUAAUUAAUACACGUGGUCCAACCAAAAACACGUUGGGUGGGGCUUACUAAAACUACGAAAGGGUGUGGCGACCCAUGCAUUCUGGGACACGUGUUUCAAUAUGAUUUGAAGUACACAUGCAGGUACAUCUUGUGUACGUACGUCAGUCUAAUUAUUGAGACAGAUUCAAUUUAUAUAAUUUAAAUUAACAAAAUAAAUAAUUCAUUCAUCAUUUUCUUUUUUUAUAAAUUAAAAUCAACUUUUACCCUUCCUAUUCCCAAAGAAAUAUAAAUGGGUUAAACUCUAUUAACCUUUUUUUUUUUAAUAGUUCAGAUAUUAUUUCCAAUAAAUUAAAAUUUUCUAUCAACUUUAGGCUGCACUUUUAUAUUUCUACUGUUUAUGUCAGCAUAUUCUUAUAAUCUUUGUAUUCAUUUCAUAUUCUUAUAUACAUGGGUCGUUUAUGUAUGUUAUUAUUAUUAAUAAUGAAAGAUUAGUUUGACUAAACUAAAAUUUAAGGAGGUUAGUAAUAGAAAAUUGUUAGGGUUGGAAAAGUAUAUAUUAGACAUAAUAAUGCUCGAGGUUUGAAUGAAAUGUAUAUACUCAUAAAAAUAUAUUGAUUAGAUUAGAAAAAGAAAUGUGAGUGAGAUGAGAUAAUGGAUUACAGCAGGGAGAGUGUGUGACAAUGAACGAAGAUUUUGGAGUCACGUGAAAUAAAGUAUUAAUUAAUUACUUUCAAUCAAUUAAUUAAUACUAAUAAUUGAGAUAUAAAGUAAAACAGGCAGAGCCAGUUGGUAUUGUAUUCCUUCCAUUUUCAUUCUCUCCUUCAUUUCUAUAUAUACAAAAUCAAUUUGUUUUAUUCAAAGUAUUAGUUUUGUAUCGAUGUGUCAACACUUUCUUUUAUAUAUGAGUUCAACAUUGACAUAAAAAUGAAAUCGGUAUUUUUAUUAUGUUGUAAAGAAUUCAUGAAACAUGGAAUAAUAAAUUGUUAAUCAAACACAUAAUACACUUACAAUUUAUUUAAGAAGCAUGUUAGACUUCUUUCUAACUACAUUUUUCUUUUGUAAAAUUGAAUAUUACGGGUUUUCUAAUAUAACAAAAAAAAAAAAAAUCAAUUUGUCAUUUUAAAUUUUACUGUAUUUAUAAAUAUAUAGGUGAUAUUGUUGAAAGAAUUUUAUUUUCAUUUAGAUUUGGAAAAGUCAAGUUGAUAUAGAAAACUCUUCAUCAAUUGUACUCUUUGUCAAGAAAGAAAAAAGGAACAAAUAUUAUGAGCUGUCGAAGGAAAGAUAUUUACCAAAUUGAAGAUGAGAUAAUUUUUCACGUCUUUAUUGGUUUUUUUCUGAGAUUUGAAAAUGUAAUAUUUGUUUGAGUGUUAAUUGACUUUACAGUAUUGGUUUCCUUAAUUAGAAAUGUGUAUGUGACAUUUCUUCCAAUUGAAUUCUUACAUAUACAUCACUUAUAAACAAUAGCUACCAUUUUAGAUUAGAUUAUUAGUUUCAUUUAAGUUUAAUUGUUAUCUUUUUCUUUUAUCAUCAUUAUUGUUAUUAUUAUUUCAUUUUGUUUUCAACAUUCUCUUGAACAAACAUUAGAAUAAUUGAACAAACAUUAGAAUAAUUACAAUGGAUAGUAAUAUUAUUAGAGAUAAUAAUAUAUAAGAGUAUAUAGCAACAUUUUUUAAAAAAUUGUAUAGAUAUAUAUGCUAUAUUUUAAAAGAUUACUAUCUAUGCUAGUAUUGUAUCCAAUGCUAAAUAACUUUUUAAAUAAAUAUUUACAAAACUUCAAAAAUUAAUUUAAUUCAUUUAACAAGUGAAUGGUCUUUUUUUUCAUGAAUACACAUUUUAAAUAUCAUUUUUGAUUUUGUAGUUUGAGCUUUCGUUAAUUUUAGUUCAUGUAUUCUCAAUAAAGAUAUUUAAAUUUAGUAUAUCAAAAUUGAUUAAUUAACAACAACAACAACGUUCAUAUAAACACAUAAGAGACAAUAUUGUUACCAAUUUUACAGCAAAAAUACCAAUGAGCAACAACUUUUUUCUUAAAAAGGAAUUCAGCAAGAAACUAUAAAGUAAAUUUAAGAUUGAUUAAGAGUACACCUACUAAAAAAUUAAAUCCUUCAAGUACAUCUUAAAAGUGAUAGAGUAAGUUAAUUAAAAACAAAUUUUUGACAAAUCAUAAAAUUUCCUAGGAAAACUCUAAAAGCUAAAAAGGUUGUGGACUUUGAAAUUGAAGAAGAAAAUAAAGUAAAAAAAAGAAAAAAGUAUAUAAUUAAACCCAUGAGCCACGUUUCAUUUCUAUAAUUUAGUUGAAUAUUAGCAAAUUAAAAAUGGCAUAAAACUUAUGGGGUUGUAUGUGUAAUUAAUGAUUUUAAAAAUGGUUUAAUUUACUUGAAAAAAACAUCUCGAGUGAGUGAAUAAGUCAACUUUGACAAUAAGCAAUCCAAAGAUGACCAAAUUCUAAUUAAUUAGUUAAACUAUAUAUUGAACUUCCCAAGGUGUUUGCUUCUGUGAAUAAAUUAUGCUUAUAUAUUAGCCAAUUAAAACCAUAGCAAAUAGCUUUUUUUGUAUUGUAUUGUCCAAAUAUAUAUAUAUAUAUGUAUGGAAAAAUUAAUGUACUAAAGUUUUGGAUCGGGUGCAAUGCUACAUGUCCUACUCACUUUUUUAAAAAAUUAUUGAAUUGAUUAAAAAAAAAAUUAUAUAGUUGACUUUUUAUAAACUCAAGAAGUAUUUGAAGGGUUAGUGAUCUUAUGUAAACUAGGGUUAUAUUCAACUUAGCUAACUAAGGUGUCAAUCUUCGAUUACGAUAUUGAUGAUUUGAAUAUCUCAUUUUGACAUAUUAUUAAAUUUGUGGGGAAAAAAAAUAUACUUAUAUAUUUAGUACAUAAAAUAUAUGUUUAUCUCAUGCUACACAAAAAAAAUUAAAAUUAUGUAAUACUAAUGGUUAAAUUUUUUAAAUGUGAUUACUAAAUUUAAUUUGGUUAAAGAAUUAUAUAUAUAUAUAGUUGUUUUUGAGUUUAUUGUUGUUGUGAAUCUUCAUCCUCAAGUUAUUGUUAAAUUUCUUAUUUCUAUUUUUUUAAUCUUAAAUAUUAACUUAUAAAUUAGAAAAUUUAAGACUCGUUUAAUAAAUACUUCCGAUUUGAUUCUUAGUAAUUCCGUUGUUAAACAUUAAAAUAGUUUAAGUUGUAUUGUCAAUUACUUUGCAUAUUAUCCUUUCAAUUUAGGUGUCAUGAGUUCAAUUUUAUUAUUAAAGUUAUAUAUAUGUUUGUAUUUUUAAAAAGGUAUAUUAUUGGGUGAAAUUUAUUGUAAAAUUGACAAGAAAAUUAUAAAAAUAGAGUUGACUUGAAUUUAAAAAUGGAUUUAUAUUAUAUGUAUAAUGUGAAAUUUUGAGGAGAGGUAUCAAUCCGAUGUAGCAAAAAGCUGAGAAUUAACUUAAUGCAUGAAUGAUAGUGAAUAUAAUCAUCAUUUGACAUUUUCUUUUCUCUUUUUAAUAAAUCAUUUGACAUUUUUUUUGUCUUCACCAAAAACUUUGACGAACUUUAUUAAUUAUAAAAUUAAUGAAAAUCAAAAUUCAACUCAUUAACUUGCAAGCUUUAUUUGAUUAAAUUACACGCCAUUAAUCUAUUAUAUAUUUAAAUAUGUUUGUAUGUAUAUGUGUAUAUCCAAUCCAAUUCCUGGAUAGAUCCAAACAAACUUAAUUCAAAUUUGUGAGGAUUGAGUUGAAUUACAAAACAAUUACAAAAGUCACUAUAUUUAUUUUAGUUCUUGAUUUUUCAAGUUUUUAUAUGUAUAGAAAUUAUCAAAAUCAAUAUUUUCAAAGUACACUGUGUAAAUAAAAUAAAGUAUAUAAUCGUAUUUUGCUUUCGUUUAGGUCAACAAUUAAUUUUGUUAUCAAAUGUUAUAGUGUUUAUCAAAUGAGAUUAUACUUAAAUUGAAAUAUUAAUCAAAUUAUCUAUUGAUUAACGACACGUUACUUUCUAGUUUAUUUGGUGUCAAUACAUUUUUAAUUACUUAAUGUUUACAAUACGAGUUAAAAUUAAUUUUAGACUGAAAUUGGAAAAUAAUUUAUUCUCGAAUAAGCUUGAGUUAUAUCAAUCCAACUAUAUAUGUUUUUAGUGAAGGUGAGUUUAGCUUGAUUUAAUCCACUGUUCUCGUAAUUUCUUUUUAUAGAAAAUAUGCCAUAUACUUCUAACUUUCAUUUAACUUUGUUUAAUCCGUAAUUACCCCUAUAGGCCCAAGCCCAACGCUCUUAUCCAAAAGACCAAAGGCCCAAUACUUUUCAACUCACACCCUUAAGUUUCAACCCACUUUUCAUAUCCAAAAAAAAAAAAAGAAAAAAGAAAGAGAAAAAAAUCACUCACUUUAGACCUAUUUUACACAAAGUAUCUAAAAACUUUUCGAAAAUUUUAAAAAAUAGUAGAUUUUACAAAAUAUUUACAACAUAUAGCAAAUCCUAUCGGUGAUAGUCAUAUAUGCUAUAGUGAUAUAGUGAUAGAACACUAUCGGAAUAAAAUCUAAAAUUUUAGCUUGUAAAUAUUUUAAUUUAUUAUUUUAUUUUUAAAAAUAUCCCAAAACUUUGUUUAUUUAUUAGUUAAGAUUUGGUCGAACCAUUUUAUGUUUGUAACAAUUAUAAAUACAAUUUAUUUUUUGAAAAUUCAUAUAAUAGAAUACCAUAGUUAUAUUAUAUCACAUUUAGCAUCUUUCAUAAUUAAUAUAAUAAAUAAUUCAGAUUUAUAUUUGAUUUAAUAUUAGGAUAUGAUACUUCAUUUUAAUAUGACAUCAAGUUGGAUCUAAUAUGGUAAUAAUAUAUUAAUUAAUUUCUACAUUCUUUCACCUUACCGACGUCUAUUAAAACAUUUAUAAAAAAAUUGGCAACACUAGAUUCAACUUGUAAUGAGACCGCUAUUUAGUCCGACGUCUAUUAGGACAUUUAUGAAAAUUUGGGAAUGCUAGGUGAGACACCCCUAGUUAGGUUAUAGUAGUUAAAAUCCAAAAAAUAAUUAUAUAAAAAAAUUAAAAUAAAGAUCUUCAAAGUAUAGCAAACUCUAUCGUCGUUAAACCAAUAUUUGUAUUAAUAGUCUAUCAAUGAUAGACUCAUAUUGUAGAGUACUAGAGUGAGCAUGGUCAAGUUUUUGAAAAAUGCAUACAAAAUAAAGACCAAUUUAUAUAAUCAUUCUACAUGGAUAAAAAAAUGUUAAUUUAAAGAAAUUGAUAAAUUGUUAUAAGUUACCCUCUGAUAGGCACCGUGUGGAAAUUCAAAAGGGAAAAUUGUUAGGGAAGCAGUAAUGGCAUAUUGGGUCGAAGCUUUGGAGCGUUAAACUCAAAACAAAAAAAAACACAAAAUUGAUAUUAGCAUUGCUUCCUAUAAUUUAAGCAAUGAAAAAACAAAUAAUACAUCUUCAUCAUUUUAAAUUAUAGGUUAAACCAAAAGAAUUUACAAUAGGAAGAAAAAUAAGGUGAAAACUGGAAAGAUGGAUCCAGAUUAUUGACGUCCAAAGAGUAAAAGAGUACACAAACCAUUAGAAAGGUGGUCGAGACAAUAAGAGUAGAUACGAAAUCCAGAGUCUUAAAAGACAUUAUAGAAAUUAGAGAAGAAGAUGGUAACGCCGCUCGCUAUCUGCACCGACACCAUUCUUGAAAUCGACCGACGAAGAAGAAGGCUCGGUGAAAAGAGAUGGCUGGAAAAUUACUUCCACUUCUUGAAUUUUCCUCCGCCAAACAUCCCGUGUUUCCCAUGUUUGUGUUUCCCAAACUUUCCGUGCUUGAACUUCCCAUGGUGCUUGAAUUUUCCACCGUGACCGUGACCAUGACCAUAAUGAGCAACACCAUGGGGGUA